rnacentral:lncRNA from 1 species
CCAAGUUUUUCAUGAACAAUGGGUACAAGGGUAUGUCCUUAAACUGCUUAAGUCAUAAGAGGUCAUAAGAGGCAGCUCCAGAAUUACCCGUAGUGAGCAGUUACCAUGCAUAGCUGGUUUCUCUUUGCCAGAAUUAUCAGUUAUUAUUAAAAGUGAGGGGAUAGAGUUGCAUUGUAUUAUUAGGAAGUUAUAGUUAUCUGAGCAAUUCAAGGGAGGAGCCCUGGGGCUGGAGGUGGGAGGGGAAAGAAAGCAGAAUAGAGAGUAUUCGGGUCAGGAUCAAGAAGAAAAAACUGGAAAUGCUAUUGCCCUGGGAGUACACUGCCACUUAAACUGAAGGAACAAACUGGCAUGAAGACAAGCUACAGUAAAAAUGAAAAAUUUAAAUGAUUCCGAACUGCAGUGGUUCUUCAUUUCUGCGAAGAGUGUGGAGUUCAUAAACACUCGAUUUGCCUUGGUGAUCAUUAAACUCUUCAAAAAAGUGGAGAAAAAAAUUUGGGGAGGCUUGAGAAGAAGACAUAAUUCUAUCCAUGAAUUCAUAAUGGAAGAGGAAAGGAAAGGUGAUCAAGGAAAAGAAACUGUAUGCCCCAAAAUAUUUCUAGCAGUUCUUUUUGUGAUAUCAAAGAAAUGGAAACUAAAGGAUAUCUAUCAAUUGGAGAAUGGCUGAACAAGUUGUGGUAUAUAAUUAUAUUGGAAUACUACUGUGCCAUAAGAAAUGGCAGACAAAAUGAUCACAAAAAAUCUGGAAAGUGGUGCAAAGUGAUGUAAGCAGAACCAGGACAGUAUUGUACACAGUAAGACAAUAAAGUAUGAUUAUCAAACA